UAGGGAAUCUUCGGCAAUGGACGAAAGUCUGACCGAGCAACGCCGCGUGAGUGAAGAAGGUUUUCGGAUCGUAAAACUCUGUUGUUAGAGAAGAACAAGGACGUUAGUAACUGAACGUCCCCUGACGGUAUCUAACCAGAAAGCCACGGCUAACUACGUGCCAGCCGCCGCGGUAAUACGUAGGUGGCAAGCGUUGUCCGGAUUUAUUGGGCGUAAAGCGAGCGCAGGCGGUUUCUUAAGUCGGAUGUGAAAGCCCCCGGCUCAACCGGGGAGGGUCAUUGGAAACUGGGAGACUUGAGUGCAGAAGAGGAGAGUGGAAUUCCAUGUGUAGCGGUGAAAUGCGUAGAUAUAUGGAGGAACACCAGUGGCGAAGGCGGCUCUCUGGUCUGUAACUGACGCUGAGGCUCGAAAGCGUGGGGAGCAAACAGG
rnacentral:rRNA from 1 species